rnacentral:rRNA from 2 species
GGCUCUCUGUUUACAUAAAUAUAGGGAGUCGAGCCUGCCCAGUGAAUUUUUAAACGGCCGCGGUACUCUGACCGUGCAAAGGUAGCAUAAUCAUUUGCCUUAUAAUUGAAGGCUAGUAUGAAUGGUUUGACGAGAGCAACACUGUCUCCUUUUUAUUUUCAAGAACUUAACUUUUAGGUGAAGAGGCCUAAAUUUUAUUGAAGGACAAGAAGACCCUAUCGAGCUUAAAAGACAUUAUAGAAGUUUAUAUAUUUCUAAAUAAAUUUUCUAUUGAGCUUUUUAGUUGGGGCGACUAAGGAACAAAAAAAGCUUCUUGCUGAUAAUAGACAGUCAUGUUUAGAUCCGAUAAUAAUCGAUCAAAGAAAUUAGUUACCGUAGGGAUAACAGCAUAAUCUCUCUUGAGAGACCUAAUCGAAAGAGGGGGUUGUGACCUCGAUGUUGGACUAGAAUAUCCUAAAGAUGCAGAAGUCUUUGAAAGGUCGGUCUGUUCGACCGUUAAAAUUCU